rnacentral:rRNA from 1 species
AUUGAACGCUGGCGGCAGGCCUAACACAUGCAAGUCGAGCGGAUGAAGGGAGCUUGCUCCUGGAUUCGGCGGCGGACGGGUGAGUAAUGCCUAGGAAUCUGCCUGGUAGUGGGGGAUAACGUCCGGAAACGGGCGCUAAUACCGCAUACGUGCUGAGGGAGUAAGUGGGGGAUCUUCGGACCUCACGCUAUCAGAUGAGCCUAGGUCGGAUUAGCUAGUUGGUGGGGUAAAGGCCUACCAAGGCGACGAUCCGUAACUGGUCUGAGAGGAUGAUCAGUCACACUGGAACUGAGACACGGUCCAGACUCCUACGGGAGGCAGCAGUGGGGAAUAUUGGACAAUGGGCGCAAGCCUGAUCCAGCCAUGCCGCGUGUGUGAAGAAGGUCUUCGGAUUGUAAAGCACUUUAAGUUGGGAGGAAGGGCAGUAAGUUAAUACCUUGCUGUUUUGACGUUACCAACAGAAUAAGCACCGGCUAACUUCGUG